CAUAUGGCUUCCACUGCAUAUAUCAUAUUUCAUGCAUGUUGAAGUACCUCUUGGCACAAGACAUGGAGCAGAACCUUUUGGUGCCUCUGAACUGGCUGGCAGGAGCAAAGUUUUUACAGUACUCACACUUCAGCACUGAGGGCAGAGUUUGGAGAAAACAACGGAGCAGAGGAUUUAUUCCACAAACCUGGUCAUUAUCUGAUUGGCUGCUGGAAGUUGUUGUUGCUUCCUGUUGCUGAGCCUGUGGCUGCUGGGUGACGGUCGCCACGGCAGCAGUGGCCGUGUUUCCGGGCAUAAAGAUGAGCUGUGAGGAGAUGGGGGCCCUCAGGGAGCGGUUGACCUGUAAGAAGACACGACGGCCAUCGAAAACACAGGAAAUAAGCCAGUCCCACUCAACAGUACUGAUUGGCUGAUUGUGGACGUUGCCGGGGCACCCAUAGGACGGCUGCUGGUUGUAGAUCCAGAUGUUACACUGGCCUGGAAAAUAAAAAUGUUGAAUAAUGACAUUUUGUAUUCAUCAUGGAAAAAUGUAGAUCAGUUAAGUUUGGG